AACAACGCAUUAUCUGUUCAUAGUUGUCUUAGCUGUUAACAGCACGCUGCUGACUAUUUAUGCAGGAGACUACAUAUUCUACACUGAUUGGGCUUGGACUUCAUUCGUCGUGUUCUCGAUUUCGCAGUCAACGACGCUUCUUUUAGGUCCCACCCAUUACUUGAUGUUUACGUGUUGGCCUGGGACAUCAACCGAAUAUGCCACUCACAUAACGAUUUAUACAUGCGUUGAGAAUGGUGCUUCGUUUCCUCUUCGACAUCAAUAUGUCUCCGUUGGGCAACAAGAAGGAACAAACACGCGGCGAUACUAAGAGGGGGAACAUUGGUUGGACUGUCUCUGCCAAUGGUUAACAUGAUCAACCUGUUGACCAUACGCGAUCCGCUAGAAAUGGCAUACAAGUAGCCUAGACCAACACGGCACCCAUACAUGACACCAAUCGAACCACAAGUCGGUAAAUUCUAUAAUAGGCAAGUGGGCUUAGGAGCUGGCGCGGGGGACGUGCUAUGUGUGCCAAUAGCGGCGUUGGGUGCAAAACUCAAUACGUGG
rnacentral:rRNA from 1 species